rnacentral:rRNA from 1 species
AUUGAACGCUGGCGGCAGGCCUAACACAUGCAAGUCGAGCGGAGCGGCGGAAGGGUGCGUAAUGAAUAGGAAUCGGCCUGGUCGUGGGGGAUACCGUCCGGAAACGGGCGCUAAUACCGCAUACGAUCCGAUUAGCCUAGGUCGGAUUAGCUCGUUGGUGGGGUAAAGGCCUACCAAGUCGAGGAUCCGUAACUGGUCUGAGAGGAUGAGCAGGAACACUGGAACUGAGACACGUUCCAGACUCCUACGGGAGGAGUCAGUGGGGAAUAUUGGACAAUGGGCGAAAGCCUGAUGCAGCCAUGCCGCGUGUGUGAAGAAGGUCUUCGGAUUUGAAAGCACUUUAAGUUGGGAGGCGUUACCAACAGAAUAAGCACCGGCUAACUUCGUGCCAGCCGCCGCGGUAAUAC